CCUACGGGGGGCAGCAGUGGGGAAUAUUGGACAAUGGGCGAAAGCCUGAUCCAGCCAUGCCGCGUGUGUGAAGAAGGCCUUCGGGUUGUAAAGCACUUUCAGUGGGGAAGAAAGCCUUGGGGCUAAUACCCUCGAGGAAGGACAUCACCCACAGAAGAAGCACCGGCUAACUCCGUGCCAGCAGCCGCGGUAAUACGGAGGGUGCGAGCGUUAAUCGGAAUUACUGGGCGUAAAGCGCGCGUAGGCGGUCUGUUAAGCCGGUUGUGAAAGCCCCGGGCUCAACCUGGGAACGGCAUCCGGAACUGUCAGGCUAGAGUGCAGGAGAGGAAGGUAGAAUUCCCGGUGUAGCGGUGAAAUGCGUAGAGAUCGGGAGGAAUACCAGUGGCGAAGGCGGCCUUCUGGACUGACACUGACGCUGAGGUGCGAAAGCGUGGGUAGCAAACAGGAUUAGAUACCCCGGUAGUC
rnacentral:rRNA from 1 species